AUGCACACCCACACCUCACCUGUACACACACCCACACACCUCACCUGUACACACACACCUACACACGGCCACACCUCACCUGUACACACACCCACACCUCACAUGUACACACACCUACACAGACACAUACCUAUACAGACAUCACCUGUACACACGCACACACACAAACACAUGUACACACACCCACACAUCACCUGUACACACACACACACAUCACCUGUACACACACACACACACUCACCUGUACACACACCUACAGAUACACAUCACCUGUACACACACCUACAAACACCUGUACACACCUGCACACACACCCACACAUCACCUGUACACACCACACACCUCACCUGUACACACACCUCACUGUACACACACCUGCACACACACACAUCACCUGUACACACACACACCUCACCUGUACACACACCUACAGACACACAUCACCUGUACACACACCUGCACACACACACACAUCACCUGUACACACACCUCACCUGUACACACACCUACAAACACCUGUACACACACCUGCACACACACCCACACAUCACCUGUACACACACCCACACACCUCACCUGUACACACACCCACACACACCUGUACACACCUGCACACACACCACACAUCACCUGUACACACCCACACACCUCACCUGUACACACACCUACAGACACACAUCACCUGUACACACACCACACAGCCACACAUCACCUGUACACACACCCACACACCUCACCUGUACACACACCUACAAACACCUGUACACACACCUGCACACACAGCCACACAUCACCUGUACACACACCCACACACCUCACCUGUACACACACCCACACACCUGCACACACACCUGUACACACACCUGCACACACACCCACACAUCACCUGUACAUGCACCUGUACACGCACUCCACACACACCUAACCUGUACACACAUGCACUCACCUCAACUUUACACACACCUGCACACACACACCUCACUUGUACACGCACCUGUAUACACACACCUCACCUGUACACAUGCACACCCGCCUCACCUGUACAUACACCCAUGCCAACCCCCACACUCUCACGACUAUACACACCCGCCCACCCCAACACAGAAACCCCUACACGCAGACACCUCCAAGACCAGGUGA
rnacentral:lncRNA from 1 species